rnacentral:rRNA from 1 species
GAAGUAAAAGUCGUAACAAGGUCUCCGUUGGUGAACCAGCGGAGGGAUCAUUACCGAGUUUUCAACUCCCAAACCCAUGUGAACCUACCAACCGUUGCUUCGGCGGGAUCGCCCCGGCCGCCCUGCGCGGACCGGACUCGGGCGCCCGCCGAGGACCUCAAACUCUUGAUUUUGUUGUGGCACUUCUGAUUAAAACAAGCAAAUAAAUAAAAACUUUCAACAACGGAUCUCUUGGUUCUGGCCUCGAUGAAGAACGCAGCGAAAUGCGAUAAGUAAUGUGAAUUGCAGAAUUCCGUGAAUCAUCGAAUCUUUGAACGCACAUUGCGCCCGCCAGUACUCUGGCAGGCAUGCCUGCCCGAGCGUCAUUUCAACCCUCGAGCCCCCCCGGGGGCUUGGUGUUGGAGGUGGGCCGCCCCUCGCGGCGGCCCUCUCCCAAAUCCAUUGGCGGUCUCGCUGUCGCCUCCUCUGCGUAGUAGCACACCUCGCACCGGAGCAGCAGCGCGGCCACGCCGUAAAACCCACCACUUCCGAAAGGUUGACCUCGGGUCAGGUAGGAAUACCCGCUGAACUUAAGCAUAUCAAUAAGCGGAGGA